rnacentral:rRNA from 1 species
GGCUAUCAGCUCGUUGGUGAGGUAACGGCUCACCUAGGCAAUGACGGGUAGCUGGUCUGAGAGGGCGAUCAGCCACACUGGAACUGAGAUACGGUCCAGACUCCUACGGGAGGCAGCAGGAGGGAAUCUUCGCGCAAUGGGCGAAAGCCUGACGCAGCGACGCCGCGUGGGGGAUGAAUGCCUUAGGGUUGUAAACCCCUUUCACGGGGGAAGAAACUGACGGUACCUCGAGAAGAAGCCCCGGCUAACUACGUGCCAGCAGCCGCGGUAAUACGUAGGGGGCGAGCGUUGUCCGGAUUUAUUGGGCGUAAAGGGCUCGUAGGCGGCUGGCAAGUCGGCCGUGAAAACCCAGGGCUCAACUCUGGGAUGCCGGUCGAUACUGCCAUGGCUAGGGUCCGGUAGAGGGGAAUGGAAUUCCCGGUGUAGCGGUGAAAUGCGCAGAUAUCAGGAGGAACACCAGUAGCGAAGGCGGUUCCCUGGGCCGGCACCGACGCUGAGGAGCGAAAGCGUGAGGAGCAAACAGGGUUAGAUACCCUGGUAGUCCACGCCGUAAACGUUGGGUACUAGGCGUGGCGUCUUAUCAACGGAUGCCGUGCUCGAAGCUAACGCGUUAAGUACCCCGCCUGGGGAGUACGG